rnacentral:piRNA from 1 species
UCCCCCUCUUAGAGGCCAAUUACUCUGCAA